CUUUCAGCUUUAUUUCAGUAACUGAUUGUCCAUUACAGCUGCACAUGUAGGAGCCGGCAUCAUUGUAGGCUACUGAACUGAUGGUCAGGGAGAAAUCCCCUCUGCUUGUAUCUCCUGACACUGAAUAUCUGCUUUAUGAAUGCUGUUGUUUGGGACACAUCCCACUCGGAGCAACGAUGGCUCUUUUAGGAAUGAAGCGGAUCCACCGAACCUCUGGACAAUUUCCUGAGCAACUACAUGGGAGGGUCAGGGGUUUAUUCACCAUCGACUCUCUGAAGAUGAAGGCUUGGCACUGCUCCAUCAGCAGGGCUACAACAAUUCACAACCAACAACAGCGCUCAAGUUUCAGUACUGCAUGUGCUACUAGGAUUGUUCAUCUGUGGAGGGAUCAUCAGCCUGAUCAUUUACACUGUGAAAACAUGCAGAGACCGAUCCAGAUGUAAUCCACGACUGCGGGAUGUUUAGCUUCUAUUUUGUUGUUUUAUUGUCCUGUGUUUUUAUUGUCCUGUACUCAUCUCAUACUGUUCUGUAUUUGCAAUUUAUGCAAUCUUAUGUACUUUCCAAGUAAGAGUCAGAUUUACAAAUAUAUUUGUAAUAUAAUUAUUUGUAAUAAUUCAAUAGAGAAGAUUAAAUUUACAAGUCAACUGGCUGCUUACACAUUGAUUACUGGUUAUUUAUUACCUUUUAUGAAGGUAUAUUAUUUUGACUCGAUUCCAGACAGUUGAGAUUCAAGAGUCGACUCUGAAAAACCUCACUGUUUACACAGAAAAUCUCAACCAGGUGCCAAUCAUCGAUAACUGUAUGAUCAAAUCACCUUGAUAAAGAUAUGCAUACGGAUGUCUGAUUUAAAAACAAUUAAAAUACGUGACAAGAAUUCAUAAACCAUUACAGUUAGUAGUUAAGUUUAAAAGACAUAACAUCCAGAACAUAACAGUUAGAAGCUGUAUUAUAGCCUACGUGUAUUUAAUUAAUAUUACACUGUUUAUUUUAUUAUAUCUCGUUUCCUGUCUUUCCAUAAAUUAUUGUGCAGAAUCAACUCAAUUGAUUCAUAUUCACUCUAAUCAGAAUCGAAGUGAAGUCCAGAAUUUUUCAUUUUGAGCAGCCUAGAUCAGGUACAAUGUCAUUAGAGUAUGUGGUCAGUUUGUAAAAAAUAUUCUUUGUGUUGUCUUUUCUUUUGCAAGACGGUUGUCAAGAAGUGAAACUACUUAAUCCCUGAGCAAUGUACGAAUGAAGCCAACUAGUUGAUGUGAAGCGUAGACCUCAAAAAGGAUUCGAUUCUCUUGAUCUUUGACUCUUUGAUGCUUUCAUUUUGUCCUGACUCGAUCUCAGGUAGUUCUGGUCUUGGACUUACUUUCUACAAUUGCGUUCUUGAUGACAGAUAAAAUAAAAUAAAAAAAACAUUUUAAAUACAAACUCUAAACAACACCAUAAUAUAGAUCUUGUGGUACUAUUGGCUGAAUUUCAUAUACAGAGAUCUGAAAUUUGUAACACAAAAACCUUUAGAGAAGCUGGAUAAAGUGGGAUGUUUUAUUCAAUUUUGUUAGAAAACACUCAUUAAUUAUCUUUCAGUCUUCUGUGACCUGAACACGGUAUGAACACAAAGGAAAUAAAGCACAAAACAACAAGGCAGGUUAAUGUCCUGGGAUGAAUUUAUCAUGUGAUAAUGUAACUGUCAGGAACAGCUGGACAGUUCCCUGCCAGGCCCAGAGAGGGCGCUGGAAGGUGAACCUUGGAAGCCUGCUUCUUUGUGUAUCUCUUGUUACGCCCUUCCUAUUGUUCCUAUCCUGAUUGUCACCUGUAUCCCAUUAGCCCUAAUGUCUACCCCUAUAAAUAGGGAUCCUUGUGUUUGUGUCUUUGUCCAUGAUUGUUAUCUGUAGCGUGGUUUCUGUUGGGCUUUUGUUUGCUAGGUUCCGUGUCCAAGCUAAGGUCUAGGUUUUGUUUAGUUAUCCACGCCAUGUCUUGUGUUACGUUUGUUUCCCUAUGUCGCGUCUUAAAUGUAAUAAAAGCAGUGCUUCGCUGAA